rnacentral:tRNA from 1 species
UCCUCCGUAGUCUAGUGGUCAUGAUAUUCGGCUUUCACCCGAACGACCGGGGUUCGAAUCCCCGCGGAGGAA